rnacentral:rRNA from 1 species
UACGUAGGGUGCGAGCGUUGUCCGGAAUUAUUGGGCGUAAAGGGCUCGUAGGCGGUUUGUCGCGUCGGGGAGUGAAAACCCAGGGCUUAACCCUGGGCUGGCUUCCGAUACGGGCAGACUAGAGGUAUGCAGGGGAGAACGGAAUUCCUGGUGUAGCGGGUGAAAUGGCGCAGAUAUCAGGAGGAACACCGGUGGCGAAGGCGGUUCUCCUGGGCGAUUACCUGACGCUGAGGAGCGAAAGUGUGGGGAGGCGAACAGG